UGUAAACUAAAUAAUUAGUUUUACCAAUUAUAACCGAUUUAUUAUUUCCCAGGGCCGUAGCAACGGGGGGUGGGGGAAGGGGCAGCCCUCAAUAUAGUCUUUAAAAUACUGACAAUUGAUUAAUUUUAAGCGGCUACAUUACCUAUGACAAACCGAAAAAAGAAUCAUAUUACCCAUAUACGCCUACGCCCAUUUAGUUCUUCUAAAUUGUAAGCAAAUUAAUUGUAAAUUUCGACGUGCUGAAACUCUGUUUUCUGACCAUCAGAAUUCUGUCAAAACUUCCCCCAAAGUCCACGAAAUGGCAUUUCAGAGACUCUAAAUUUAAAAAUUUCCUCGGGCCUUCGGCACUCGCUACCCCGUUAUCAAAAA